UACGUAGGGUGCAAGCGUUAAUCGGAAUUACUGGGCGUAAAGCGUGCGCAGGCGGUUUUGUAAGUCUGUCGUGAAAUCCCCGGGCUCAACCUGGGAAUUGCGAUGGAGACUGCAGGGCUAGAAUCUGGCAGAGGGGGGUAGAAUUCCACGUGUAGCAGUGAAAUGCGUAGAGAUGUGGAGGAACACCGGAUGGCGCAAGGCAGCCCCCUGGGUCAAGAUUGACGCUCA
rnacentral:rRNA from 1 species